ACGGGAGGCAGCAGUGGGGGAUAUUGCACAAUGGGGGAAACCCUGAUGCAGCGACGCCGCGUGAGUGAUGAAGUAUUUCGGUAUGUAAAGCUCUAUCAGCAGGAAAGAUAAUGACGGUCCCUGACUAAGGAGCACCGGCUAAAUACGUGCCAGCAGCCGCGGUAAUACGUAUGGUGCAAGCGUUAUCCGGAUUUACUGGGUGUAAAGGGAGCGCAGACAGCAUGGCAAGCCAGAUGUGAAAGGCAGGGGCUCAACUCCUGGACUGCAUUUGGAACUGUCAAGCUAGAGUAUCGGAGAGGUAAGUGGAAUUCCUAGUGUAGCGGUGAAAUGCAUAGAUAUUAGGAGGAACACCAGUGGCGAAGGCGGCGUACUGGACGAUAACUGACGUUGAGGCUCGAAAGCGUGGGGAGCAAACAGGAUUAGAUACCCUGGUA
rnacentral:rRNA from 1 species